GAGGGAUUUGAAUUUGCCAAAGUAGUGAUUCAGGAUUUGAAAAAUAGAGGCUAUUCUACAAUAGGUGCUGCAGGCUUUUGUUGGGGUGCCAAGGCUGCAAUUCAACUCGCAAAGUGCGACUCUAUUAAGGCUGCUGCCCUCUUACAUCAAUCUUACGUCACUGUGGAUGACAUCAAAGGUUCAGAUCACUUCCAGGACUUGUCAACCAGACCCAAAGGGAUAUCAUAGAAUGUGAGAAUUUUGUCUUCUGGACAAGUGCACAAAGAAUGAUGAAUUGAAGGAUGGAGCAAGUUUCAUGCAUGGUUUACUUUUGUGUAUCUUGUAAUGUUUUUGUUUUUCAUUUUUGAAGUAAAAAAUGUUCAAGAAACUUUAUUAUGUUAUGUUUUCAAACUUAAGUUAGAACUAAGAUCU